UACGUAGGGGGCAAGCGUUGUCCGGAAUCAUUGGGCGUAAAGCGCGUGUAGGCGGCUCGAUAAGUCUGCUGUGAAAGUCCAGGGCUCAACCCUGGGAUGCCGGUGGAUACUGUCGAGCUCGAGUCCGGAAGAGGAGUGUGGAAUUCCUGGUGUAGCGGUGAAAUGCGCAGAUAUCAGGAGGAACACCAAUAGCGAAGGCAGCACUCUGGUACGUGACUGACGCUGAGGAGCGAAAGCGUGGGGAGCGAACAGG
rnacentral:rRNA from 1 species